AGAGUUUGAUCCUGGCUCAGGAUGAACGCUGGCGGCGUGCUUAACACAUGCAAGUCGAACGAACCUUCGGGUUAGUGGCGGACGGGUGAGUAACGCGUGGGAACCUGCCCUCAGGAGGGGGAUAACGGUUGGAAACGGCCGCUAAUACCCCAUAUGCCGAGAGGUGAAAUGAAUUUCGCCUGAGGAUGGGCCCGCGUCUGAUUAGCUAGUUGGUGGGGUAAGAGCCUACCAAGGCGACGAUCAGUAGCUGGUCUGAGAGGAUGAUCAGCCACACUGGGACUGAGACACGGCCCAGACUCCUACGGGAGGCAGCAGUGGGGAAUUUUCCGCAAUGGGCGAAAGCCUGACGGAGCAACGCCGCGUGAGGGAUGAAGGCCUCUGGGCUGUAAACCUCUUUUCUCAAGGAAGAAGACCUGACGGUACUUGAGGAAUAAGCCACGGCUAAUUCCGUGCCAGCAGCCGCGGUAAUACGGGAGUGGCAAGCGUUAUCCGGAAUUAUUGGGCGUAAAGCGUCCGCAGGUGGCCCUGUAAGUCUGUCGUUAAAGCGUGGAGCUUAACUCCAUUUAAGCGAUGGAAACUACAGGGCUAGAGUGUGGUAGGGGCAGAGGGAAUUCCCGGUGUAGCGGUGAAAUGCGUAGAUAUCGGGAAGAACACCAGUGGCGAAGGCGCUCUGCUGGGCCAUCACUGACACCCAUGGACGAAAGCCAGGGGAGCGAAAGGGAUUAGAUACCCCUGUAGUCCUGGCCGUAAACGAUGAACACUAGGUGUCGGGGGAAUCGACCCCCUCGGUGUCGUAGCCAACGCGUUAAGUGUUCCGCCUGGGGAGUACGCACGCAAGUGUGUAACUCAAAGGAAUUGACGGGGGCCCGCACAAGCGGUGGAGUAUGUGGUUUAAUUCGAUGCAACGCGAAGAACCUUACCAGGGUUUGACAUCCUGCGAAUCCCUUGGAAACGAGGGAGUGCCUUCGGGAGCGCAGAGACAGGUGGUGCAUGGCUGUCGUCAGCUCGUGUCGUGAGAUGUUGGGUUAAGUCCCGCAACGAGCGCAACCCACGUCGUUAGUUGCCAGCAUUCAGUUGGGCACUCUAGCGAGACCGCCGGUGAUAAACCGGAGGAAGGUGUGGAUGACGUCAAGUCAUCAUGCCCCUUACAUCCUGGGCUACACACGUACUACAAUGCUACGGACAAAGGGCAGCGAUCCCGCGAGGGCUAGCAAAUCCCAUAAACCGUGGCUCAGUUCAGAUCGUAGGCUGCAACUCGCCUACGUGAAGGAGGAAUCGCUAGUAAUCGCAGGUCAGCAUACUGCGGUGAAUACGUUCCCGGGCCUUGUACACACCGCCCGUCACACCAUGGAAGUUGGCCACGCCCGAAGUCGUUACUCCAACCCUUGUGGAGGAGGACGCCGAAGGUGGGGCUGAUGACUGGGGUGAAGUC
rnacentral:rRNA from 1 species